GACGAACGCUGGCGGCGUGCUUAACACAUGCAAGUCGAACGGACAGGCCCUGCUUUUGUUGGGUGCUCGAUUGGCGAACGGGUGAGUAAAACCUGAGUAACCUGCCCUUGUCUUUUGGAUAACUUCAGGAAACUGGGGCUAAUACCCGAUAUGAUCUCCUGCUCCAUGGUGGUGGUUGGAAAGUUUCGGCUGUUCGGGAUGGACUCGAGGCUUAUCCGCUUGUUUGUGGACUAGUGGCUUAACAAGGCUUUGACGGGUAGGCGGCAUAAGAGGGUUACCGGCGACAUUGGGACUAAGAUAGGGCACAGACGCGUACGGGAGGCAGCAGUGGGGAAUAUUACACAGUGGGCGGAAGUGAGAGGCAGCAACGUCGCGUGCGGGAUAACGGCUUACGGGGGGUGAACAGCUGUGGACGGUAACGAAGAGUGAGUGACGGUAAUGGGUAAAGAAGCAACGGCUAACUACGUG
rnacentral:rRNA from 1 species